GCAAUCGGGGCCCAGAGGUAACAAACACAAACAAUUUUAUCUAUUCAUUAAAUUUUUGUCAAAAACAAGAAUUUUCGUAACUGGAAAUUUUAAAAUAUUAAAAACUUUCAACAACGGAUCUCUUGGUUCUCGCAUCGAUGAAGAACGCAGCGAAAUGCGAUACGUAAUGUGAAUUGCAGAAUUCCGUGAAUCAUCGAAUCUUUGAACGCACAUUGCGCCCCUUGGUAUUCCAGGGGGCAUGCCUGUUUGAGCGUCAUUUCCUUCUCAAACAUUCUGUUUGGUAGUGAGUGAUACUCUUUGGAGUUAACUUGAAAUUGCUGGCCUUUUCAUUGGAUGUUUUUUUUCCAAAGAGAGGUUUCUCUGCGUGCUUGAGGUAUAAUGCAAGUACGGUCGUUUUAGGUUUUACCAACUGCGGCUAAUCUUUUUUUAUACUGAGCGUAUUGGAACGUUAUCGAUAAGAAGAGAGCGUCUAGGCGAACAAUGUUCUUAAAGUUUGACCUCAAAUCAGGUAGGAGUACCCGCUGAACUUAAGCAUAUCAAUAAGCGGAGGAAA
rnacentral:rRNA from 1 species